rnacentral:rRNA from 1 species
GACGAACGCUGGCGGCGUGCCUAAUACAUGCAAGUCGAACGCAGUGGGGACGGCUGAGUAACACGUGGGUAACCUCCCAUCAGAGGGGAUAACACUUGGAAACAGGUGCUAAACCUAUACUGAUGGAUGGACCCGCGGUGCAUUAGCUAGUUGGUGAGGUAACGGCUCACCAAGGCCACGAUGCAUAGCCGACCUGGGAGGGUGAUCGGCCACACUGGAACUGAGACACGGCCCAGACUCCUACGGGAGGCAGCAGUAGGGAAUCUUCGGCAAUGGACGAAAGCCUGAGCGAGCAACGCCGCGUGUGUGAAGAAGGUUUUCGGAUCGUAAAACUCUGUUGUCGGAGAAGCGGUACCUAACCAGAAAGCCACGGCUAACUACGUGCCAGCAGCCGCGGUAAUUC